AACCCAUGUGAACACUCAGCUUUUACAGCCCUGUGGUGGAUGUGGGUGCAUCGUUAAUACUUCACUGUGCCAUCUGCUCUCCUGAGGUGACAUUAAGCAUCAGCCUGCCUUUUACUCUCCAUUUUGACCAUUAGAUUUUAAACAGCAGAUGUUUUUGUUUGUUGGUUUGUGAGAACUCUUUGUAUCUUCUGUGCAUCAGUCCAAUUGCAAAUACCAUCUGCGGUUUUUGGUUUUGUCAUAUUUUACUUUAAUGUGUCUUAAUUAUCAGUAUUGUAGCCCUGUAUUUUGUAAUACCUCUUUAAAAUUCUAAUCUUAAUUAUGAAGGUAUUUAUUUUUGAGAAUUUCCUACUAAGUACUCUAUUCACCUUGAUCCCACCCUCCCCACUUCAACUCUUCCUAUGCCCCUCCCCCCUUCAAAAUCCUAACUGCUGAGAACAUUAGACUGACCAGUUGGGAUAGACAAUCAAGUAGGGACUCAUCCCUGAAGAAGACUAAUUCUCCCUCUCAGCCAUCGUUUAAUAGCCAGUGGUUCUUCAUCUAGGGGCAAGGCCUUAAGAGAUUCCCCCAUCCGCACUGGUGUAUCAACUGGUAUUGUCACUUUUUAGAUCUUGUUUAGGUAGUCAUACUGUUAAGAUUAUGUAGGUUCAGCUUCUCUGUCAUCUGUAAAGGACACAAUCUCACAGCAGACAUCCCGGUUCUCUGGUUCUUAUAACCUUCCUGCCCCGUCUUCUAUGCCACUUCCGAGCCUUGGGUGUGGUGGUUGUGUUGAGCACCCAGUGGUUAGCUGUUCUCUGCUCUCUGAGCCGGUGAAGACUUUGGUGAUAGUCUCCAUCCACUGCAGGAAGGAGCUGCUUUGAUGCGGGGGAGGGCUGCGCUUGUCUGUGGCUUUAAGGAUAAGUGUUGAAAGAGGAGUUAGGAAUUACAGUGGCUUAAGGAAGUGGCAGGAGUAGGUUCUUCUCUAGGGUUCAUGACCUCCCCAGCCACAGGUGAGUCUUAGUACCAAGCAUGAAUUCCCUCCUGUGGAGUGGGUCUUACAUUCAACUAGACAACUCUUAGUUACCCCCAAGAUGGCAACUGCCACUCUUGCACCCUUGGGUGUAUCUUGCAAUGGUUUAUGCUCAUAGGCUUUGCACUGGAUGCCAUUAUUAACUGCUUUUCUCUCUUGGCUGUUUUCACAGCAUCUCUGGGUACUAUGAAAGCUAGUCCUCAGGGAGAAGGCUUCUAGUUCAAAUCUAAUUCAAGUGACCAAGAGCAAUGACAGUAGCCUGUUAUUUGGGGAGUCUCUGACUCCUUUGACCAACAACUCAAAGCCGUUUCCCACAGCUGGCAUUGCUUGCACACAUUAUGUAUGCAUGCAUGUAUGUAUGUAUGUAUGUAUGUAUGUAUGUAUGUACAUGAAGUGCAUAGUAUGUUUCCCCGUGACCUUUUCAAACAUCCUCAGUGUUCUUUAUCCCUUCCUCUCCCUCAGCCCUGCCCUCCAGCAUCCUUCCCAGUUAAUCCCUCCCUCUCCCAUUUUCCCCUUUCUAGGAGCUCACUCUUUCCUCCUUCCCACUGCCCUUUUUAUUUUCCUGGUAUCUGCAGCUACUCCAGUUUAUAUGCUCACAUCUAAGGAUUCAGAGUUAGGAUUCACAAACAGGAGAAAAUAUGCAGUGUUUGUCUUUCUGGGUCUGGGUUAGCUCACUCGGUAUAAUGAUCUCUCGUUCACUUUGUUUGCCUUUCAUUUUUCCUUUAUAUAUGUAUAGUAUUCUGUAGUGUUUAUACACCACAUCUUCACUGUCAGUUUAUCAGCUGAAGAACAUUUGGUUUCUGUUUUCUAGCUAUUGUGAACAGAGCAGUUAACAUGGCUGCGCAGGUGUCUAUGGAAUAGGAUGCGGAGUGGUGUAGUAGGUCAUGUGAUAAAUCUACUUUCAGUUUUUUGAGGAUUUUCCACACUGAUUCCUAUCAUGGCUGCACCAGUUUGCAAACUCAGCCGCAGUGAAUGAGUCUUCCUUCCCCACCCCCUCCUCAGCAUUCACUGUCAGCUUUUUUAUUCAUCUUAGCCAUUCUGACCUGGCGUUAAUGAAAUCUCAAAAGUAGUUUUAAUUCGUAUUAAAGAUAGUUUUGUGUCUUUUUUUGAGAAUUCUUUGAUUAGAUGCUAGCUCACUUUUAAGAAGUUGUUUUGUUUUGACUCUUAGCUUUUUGAGUUCUUUGUAGAUUCUGGAUACUCUGAUUUUGACACUUAAAUCUAGGCCAUUGGUUGUUAGUUUGUAUUAGAUUAGUCCUUAGCCUAGGUUGACUAAUGCGUUUUCUUGAUAAAACUUGAAUUAUGCAUUUUUGGCAGGAAUAUCAUAGAAAUGGUGCUGUGUUAUGUUUUCAGACCCUAUUGGGUGAUGUAAAAUUUCAGUGUACGCUGUCAGUUUGCAACUCUGGUUAGUGAGCUAAGACAAGCACCUGCCUAGUCCUCUCCAGUCACUAUGAACUUUUCAUUCCCGUCUUUAUAACUUACAUAAAGAUAUUUUUGAAACCCCCUAGGUAUUAGAUGUCUCAACAAAAUCUCAAUGUGGAUCUCAUGAGACAGAGCAGUGGGUAAAGAACCUCAGUUGCCACCAGGGCCUGAGAACCUUAGGUGGAUCCCUGGGACCCACACUGCAGAAAGAAAAAGUUGACUCCUAGAAGCUGUUCUUAAUACAGUGCCCUAAUCUAUGAAUGCUUUCCCUCCAAAUAAAUGUUACUUUUCUUCAAUAAAGAUUUCUUUUUUUAAAAUGUUUUUAAUUGAAAUAAAAUAUCACUUUUCUUCC
rnacentral:lncRNA from 1 species